rnacentral:misc_RNA from 1 species
GCUGAGGGACGAUAGAAACCGUAGAGGACGCUGAGGAAAAGCGCGUCUUGAGUAGGGGGGAGUUGGCACUGGAGUGCUUUUGCGCUGCUGUUUCGAGCCAGUGAGCGGCCGGCAAUUUGGCUAAUUGUUUCAACGGACAGCCGCCCUCGUCUACUGGAAAACAUCAUUUCAACCUCCUAGGAGAUGCCCACGCAUAAGGUUUCCAUCGUCGGCUCCGGAAAUUGGGGUUCUGCAAUAGCUCGCAUAAUUGGGCUCAACGUGCUCAAGUUCGACUCCUUCGACAACAAUGUUAGAAUGUACGUUUACGAGGAGAUUGUCGAUGGAAAGAAACUCACUGAGAUAAUCAAUACCCAGCACGAGAACAUCAAGUACCUUCCAGGCUACAAGAUCCCUGAGAAUGUUGUUGCCGUUCCUGACAUAGUAGCAGCUUGUGAUGGCUCAGACAUUCUGAUCUUUGUCCUGCCGCACAAGUUCAUUGUUCCUACAUGCAAGCCUCUGAUUGGAAAGAUCAAGGCCGGCGCAAUUGGACUGUCAUUGAUCAAAGGUUUUGACAUCGCACCUGGUGGAGGCAUUGAACUGAUAUCUAAUGUCAUCAAGAAGCUGCUCAAUAUCGAAGUGUGUGUUCUCAUGGGAGCUAAUCUGGCCAAGGAAGUUGUCGACGAGAAGUUCUGCGAGACUACGAUCGGAUGCAAGGACCCCCACAACGGUAUUCUUCUGAAGAAUCUUAUUCAGACUGAGUACUUUAGGGUCACGGUGGUGGAUGACAUUCCAACUAUUGAAAUCUGUGGAGCCCUCAAGAACAUAGUUGCCGUUGGGGCCGGCUUUGUCGAUGGCCUGGGAUACGGCGACAACACCAAGGCGGCAGUGAUUCGGCUAGGCCUGAAAGAGAUGAUUGCCUUUGCUGACUUCUUCUAUCCGGGCGCCAAGCUGAGCACCUUCUUCGAGAGCUGUGGCAUCGCCGACCUCGUCACCACCUGCUACGGCGGCCGCAACCGCAGGGUGGCCGAGGCUUUCGUCACGGCCAACAAGUCCAUCGAGGAGCUGGAAGCAGAGCUUCUUAACGGACAGAAGCUCCAGGGACCAGAGACUGCAGAGGAAGUUUAUGUCCUGCUCAAAACGAAGGACAUGCUGGAUAGGUUUCCACUGUUUGUAGCCAUUCACCGAAUAUGCAAGCACGAAAUACCACCCAGUGAAAUGAUCCAGUGCAUCAAGAACCACCCCGAACACAUAAACCCAGACUUCGAAUUACCCAGCCACUUAUAGGCAGUCUGAAUUGGAAGUUGUGUUCAACGGGACAGAAGAAAAAAAAACAGGGGCUUUACUUUUAUUUGAUAUCAUUCAUCACUGAUCAUUGCAUUUGCAACUUUCCAGUCAUGAAGUGUGGAAGUGUCUUGAGUACUCUUUUAAAUCUUGAGAAAAGCAACAAAGUAGCAAAAAAAAGUCAGUGUUGUACCUUACCUACUUUCCUGUUGUGUGCUUAUGGUAGAAGUGUUGAGUGAUUGUGAAUGGUAUAUUAUUGAGAUAGUUAUUUUGUUAGUCAGGUGCAUGCAAAUAGUGUUGGAAGUUUGUAGGCGUGUGGUCUGGGGAAUUAUUGUAAUUCUGUGUUACUUGUGACCCAGUCGUUAAAGCAUGUGACACAUUGAUGUACAUUUUAUUGCUGGUCAAGAAUUCGUAUAUUUGUGCAUGGUAAUAUUCAGUCCUGUUGUCCAAUGCCAGCGACAAAAGCCCAGGUUGGAAGUCCAGACUUUUGACAUUGACUGUGCAGAGCAUUGGCUUCUGUCCCGAAUCUGUUACUUUAUUCCUGUAUGUUGUGUUAUGCAGAUAGUUAGUCACAUACAUGUUGAACAACAGAUUUUUCACCCAGGUGCUAUUGGCUAUGAUCUUGCAAGCUGCAGGUAAUGAAUAAAUUUCGAUUGAAGUUGUUUACUAAUACUUCGUGUACUUAUCUCUUGUAUUUUCGAGUAGUGUUUUUAGGGAGAAUCUUCGUUUAAUGACAUUUGUACUCUUUUAGGGGAAUACACUUGUGUUUUCAUAAUCAAUGUUGUUGUAAUAACUAAAGCAAAGCAUGAUUUUUUUAUGUAACAGGGCAUGCUGUCUUCAGUUGUAUAAUGUGCCAUGCUGGUCACGCGUUUAAACACUGAGCUACAACAUUCAGUUACAACACACGUCGCCAUUUAGGUGUUUUUCUUUACUGCUUUUCAGAGUUUACUUUUUGAAAUGUGCAUGAGGUAUAUUUCUUGGUGCUGUCAGUGUACUUGAUUGUAUAGCUUUAGGGUACCCUUGAUCUUGCAUUCACUUUAGUGAACAGGGGGUAUUCUUAAAUAUUGAACAGGUUUGUCAAUGACUGUGCUGUGAAAACAAUGCUAUUUCUGAAAUCUGAUAUGUAUGCAAAUGUGUUUCCCUACACAUGCUGCACAUUUUCUGCGUGUGCCACCAUCUCACAGUCAUCAAUUUUUGUGCCAUAUGUGGAUCAAAUAAUAUGAUUUUCUGAUUAAGCAAGUAAUGUUUUGUGUAGUUAAAAAUAGCCAUUCAUGAUCAUUAGGGAGUCAUUCCGUAUAAAUGAGCCAAGUUUGUUUCAAAAUUCUGUCUCCACUUUUUCUAGUUGUACUUUGUGUUAAAGUGAACAAAGUUGUGUAGCAGUACUGGUACAUGAAGCCUGUUUGUUGUUACGUGUUAGAAAUUUGAAACAGUGAGGAAUCAAUGCCUAAUCUGAUCCUAAAGAAUGAUGUAGAGCUAAAUAACAAAUAAUUAAAAUUAUAGUGAAAACAAUA